UUUAAGCGGUGGGGGAAAAACUCCUACAGGAGCUCCCGGCUUGGAUGUCGUGAGCCGGGGAGUGUGGGGUUGGGUCAUGCGAUGCAUCCCGACCCACUAAAAAACCACCCACCGCUCUUCCAACACCACCACGGAACUUAGUGGGCAUUACUUCAUGGUGGGUGGGCCAUUUGCUCUUUACUUUAAUUUACUUUCACUUCUCCUCUUCUUUGCUUUUUGCUUUUAGAACGGCAGAUACAAAGGCGUUGAUUUGUAUCCAUUUUUCUUCAUCUUCCAACAUUGUGUCUACUAUGUUUUCGGUGGAUAGUUUUAUAUAUAGCUUUUCCUCUACGGUUUGACGUUCUAAGUUCCAUCUAGGGCAGUAUAUAAUAGUGUGUUCAGCGUCAUCUUUCUCGCCGCAAUAAAUGCAUUCAUCAUCUCUGCUUCGCUCUCUUUCGUAGAGGUAUUUUCUAAAACUGCCAUGUCCCGUCAGAAAUUGCGUUAAAUAGUAAUUCAAGGCACCAUGUUUUCUUAGAAACCAUUUCCUUAUAUCUUUUAUUAGAUAUGUUGACCAGCUUUUAGAUGCACUCCAUUCGCUCUGCCAUUUUUCUAGCAUGAGGUUUCUACUUUCUUCUUUUGUUUUGCCGUUGAAAAUUUGUCGUCUUUCCUGUGUUAGUAGGUGAAUAGGAGGUAAGCCGCUUAUGGCUAAAAUCGAAUCUGUAGCAACAGUGCGAUAGGCACAUGUCACCCUAAGUGCCAUUCUACGUUGUAGCGAUAAAAGUUUGUUCCGAAGUGAUAUUGUGUCCAUUGCCUUUGCCCAUAUUGGUGCUCCGUAUAAAAUUACAGAGUGUCCCACUGUGCUCAACAUCUUUCUUUUCAUCGUUGACGGACCUCCAAUGUUAGGCAUUACUGACGACAAUGCAGAGAUCGUUUUUUCUGCUUUUAUAGCGCACUCUGUUAUGUGCCUUUUAAAGUUGAUAUUUCUUCCUAUCCACACGCCGAGGUAUUUUACUGCUUCUUUUGGCGUAACUAAAGUUCCCAUGAUAUUAAACUGUACGUCCGGAGGUUUUCUUCUGCAAUUUAGAAGUACUGCUUCUGUUUUAUCGGGUGCUAAUUUUAGCUUUUUGCUGUACAUCCAGUGUACAAUUUUGUCUAGAGUAUCAUUUGUUUUUUCUACUAAAUCCUCUAUGGUUUUUGCAGAUACAAUCACAGCCAAAUCAUCGGCAUAUCCCACGAGCUCGACAUCUUCCGCAACCGACAGUCUCAGGACACUGUCAUACAUUAUAUUCCAUAGCAGUGGUGCGAGCACCGACCCCUGUGGAACCCCGCUGUUUACUUCUAGUAGUUUACCAUGUUCGGUUUAGGAAGAAGAAUCAGUCGUGCUGUUUUCCAGCAAUCCGGAAAGGAUUUUCUCCUUAGACAGGAAUACCAUCUGGUCCAGUGGCUUUACCAGGUUUCAGGCGUUUGGCGGCAAUUAGUAGUUCUUCCAGUGUGAAAUUUUUUAUGGGGUUCUUUAUUGGUUCGGGCCAUACUACUUCAGGAUGGCGCGGAAACAGAUGCACUACAACGUUUUCCAGUUC